rnacentral:rRNA from 1 species
UACGGAGGGGGCAAGCGUUGUUCGGAAUUACUGGGCGUAAAGGGCGCGCAGGCGGCUGCUCAAGUCAGGCGUGAAAGGCCUGGGCUCAACCCGGGAAUUGCGCUUGAGACUGGGCUGGCUUGAGUGCGGGAGAGGAUGGUGGAAUUCCCGGUGUAGAGGUGAAAUUCGUAGAUAUCGGGUGGAACACCUGUGGCGAAGGCGGCCAUCUGGACAGUCACUGACGCUGAGACGCGAAAGCGUGGGGAGCAAACAGG